rnacentral:lncRNA from 1 species
ACACACAUGCCCAACUUCAAUUGGUAUCCAUACAAAGAUGUCUGAUUAAAGCAUCGAGAUCAUCGGUGUGCUAGCACCUUACAGAUCUCGUUCCUCAGCCUUGGAUCUGAAUCUCUUCUUCUAGAUCUCGAAGAAGAUGAUCGCUGUGCGAACUCAUUCGCGCAUAUCCGAUGGGAUCUGAACUAGAUCACCAAUAAGGGAAGAAAAAUCUUUCUUCUUCUUUUCU